rnacentral:rRNA from 1 species
CUAUGACGGGUAUCCGGCCUGAGAGGGUGAGCGGACACACUGGAACUGAGACACGGUCCAGACUCCUACGGGAGGCAGCAGUAGGGAAUAUUGCUCAAUGGGGGAAACCCUGAAGCAGCAACGCCGCGUGGAGGAUGAAGGUUUUAGGAUCGUAAACUCCUUUUGUUAGAGAAGAUAAUGACGGUAUCUAACGAAUAAGCACCGGCUAACUCCGUGCCAGCAGCCGCGGUAAUACGGAGGGUGCAAGCGUUACUCGGAAUCACUGGGCGUAAAGAGUGCGUAGGCGGGAGGACAAGUCAGGUGUGAAAUCCUAUGGCUUAACCAUAGAACUGCAUUUGAAACUAUCCUUCUGGAGUGUGGGAGAGGUA